UCACUCCAGCAAUGGUCAGUGCUUGAUACUUAUAUAUAUUUAUAAAGUAUACUUGAAACCGUGAGGUCUGGUAUCGAUACAAUGACAAUCGAGAAAGUAUCGAUACUCAGUAUCACCCAAUCAAUCAUGUAACACUUUGUUUUGUUUUGAUAUUCAACCUAAUUUUCAACUAAAGCUGCUCAAAAAUAUAUACUUAAUGUUGCAAAUGAAAAACAAAACAAACAAUGAACCCAAAAAAAAAAGUGCCACUGCGCUACUGGAGUUUCAAUUUGAUAGAGCGAAAUAAGAAAUUGGGCAAUGAAUGACUAUCACAGAAGUCCAAAUAGUCAUGCAAGGGGCAAUAUGGAUCUUCUGAAAAUUGCGCAAAAACUUGUUGCUACUCUUCAUUUCAAAUCUUCUGGCAUCCCUGAUCAUUGUUAUGUCGCUGUCAUGUCAGCAUCCAUCAUUCAGUCUUCAGUUUUUUUAAUUUAUUCCGCGGCUUUAGUCUCCAGUGUUAUUGUGUUGCUUGUCUCUGUUUAUCGGUUUUGAUCGUUUUGAUUGAGUGUUCACGAGUGAGGAAAUUACUUCUGCGUGGUACAAACCGUCGAAGCUAGCGGUCACUGUGGUUCCGUAGAAUUCAGGAAAGGCAGCUACCUCAAUUUAAGAAUUUGGCUUUUAUCAUUUGCUAGAACAUAACGGAACUUCAAUGAAAUUUACACCAAAGGAAGAUGGUGCAUUUGACCGCGAUGAGUAGGUGAGAAACUAUAAUGUUGCGUUGUAUAAACAGGGAUACCAUCUGGCCGGAGGUGUAAAUCAGGACCUUUCAUAGCUUUAAAACCCACCCUGGUAGAGGCAGUUAUAAUAAAACCGGAGCGCUAGCCCCGCAAUUACUUUGUAUGCUAAUAGUUGUCCGCGAAGUCUGUGCUUAAUAAAUAAUAAGGUCAAGUUUGUACAGCGUAAUGUUCGUACCUAUACUUUGCCUUUUAUUUGAUUUACGCUUUUUUGAUAGUGGAGUUCCACUAUUGGAAUAAUAUAUGAAUAAAGAAUGCGGCAACGUUUGUACAACAAAUAA